rnacentral:lncRNA from 1 species
GGCUGCAGUUUGUCAACCCCUGGCUUAGAUUCUCCUGUAAGAAAGAAAGCCUAGUUCUGAGGAGUGUUAUCCAACGGUCUUGAGGGGCUAGCUUCUUUGGUGUUCACCUCACACUGAGCUCUGGUCAUGCUACUCUUGGGCGGCCCCCAGUCCAUGACUUAGCAAGGUCUAGCCUCUGGCUGACAGCCAGUAAGGCAACGAGAGCUGAGUCCUCUAGCUACAGGGAACUGAACUGGACCAGCAACCUGAAGGAGCUGGGAAGAGGGUCCUUCCUCAAGCCUGCAGAUAAGAGCCAGCGGCCAUCUCCAUGUGGCCUUGCAAGAUCCUGAGCAGCGAGCCAGCUGAACUCACCCGAGCUUUGAACUGCAGAACUAGGAGGUAAUUACUGGGUAUUAUUUCAAACCACUAAGUUUGUGGUGAUUUGUCAUACAGCAAUAGAAAAUGAAUACACUGGGAAUUGGUGUUUUCAGGGGACGGUUCCUAUAACCUGGAGUAGAAUGGGUUGGAGGUAGGGUGAAAGACUGGUUUGGGGAGCAAAGAGGCCAAUGACCAGACAGACUGUAUCACAAUUUCGUUAGCACAGCCUUAAAUGCUUUUGGCGUACGUGGCUUGUUCUUGUUUUCUCAGUGAAGAUAAAGAUUUCAUCAACUACAAGGGAGGCUUCAUUUGUGAUGACCAUAGGAUGUCAGACAUUUCAGCUACUUACUGUUAGUCUAAUUGGAGAAAGACAUUAUUAUUUGAUGAUGGCCAUUUCAGCCUUUUCUUUUCAGACCAUUUUCUCCCUCUGAUGCAGUGUUUGUGAUAGAGGAACAGCUACUAAGAGGUGGGGGCUGCAGAGAAAAGUCCAGGGCCACACAGAUGAAGCAGUGAGGUGCCCUAACAGGAAGCUUGGUAACCCGCUGCUGCUGCCAGAAGCAAGUACCUGUGGCAGUUCACAGGGAGUGAGGGAGACAGUCAAAGGUGUGCUGAGAGGACAAAAAGUCAGCCCCCAAAUGAUUGCUUAUAAAAAUCCAAACAGAACCUAGAAGUCCCACUGCCUAGCUUUUAAAAAUCUAUUAUUUCUUCCAGACAGAAGCACAUAGAGGAGCAAAAUGCCUUAUUUCAGUAUACAUGUGGAGAAAGCAAUGCCCCAAGAGAGCAAAGCUUUAAGAUCUUGUGAUCAAAGAAUUGUGAAACUAAUAGCUAAUAGAGAAGAGAUAAUAGCCCCUUUGAAUGCACCUUGAGUGCUCCUAUGAGACGUGCAAUCUAAUUGUGGUAUAAUUGCCAGCUACUGAUAAUGGUUUUUAUUCCUAUGGUUCGUGCUACGAGAAGUCUGUGUCUAUCAGUGCUAGAAGUGUAUGGACCAUCAGGGCUGGCCAGGGACCUCGCAGCAGUAAUUGAAUGUAAGAAGGCAGAUGGAAUUGAAUAUAUUGUUUAUCAGAAGGUUUAGCAUUCAGUUUCCAUGAUAACCAGUCCAAGCUUAAUUGUACAGAAUUCUGAGGCUUCAUUAAUGAAACAGUAUAGAAUUUAUACUUGUAAUAGUAUUACAUUGAUUGCCUGAUUUGAGGGUAAGUAAUUGAGGUGAAAAACUUAGGGUUUAUCUGCUUCAGUAGCAAGUAUAGUUAGGAAAAAUAAAUAGUCCCUGCCAUUAAAGCUCUUAUUUAUAGAUGAAUACCAGCUAAUACAUGUAGAAGUAAUGAUAUAAAUAGAAAAAAUUAGUUUGCAAGACAUAAUGAAAUAAUUGACCAAGGCAAGCAUCCAUAAUGAAUGCUAAAACUGUUAGAAUGGUUGAGUCAACAGAAACUAGAAAAUAACAUGGUACCAAAGUAUCACUUGAUAGGUGAAUUGCCAAUAGCUAAAGAUGGGGGAGCAGCUUUUAUGAUAGAUACAUGAGGCUUUUAUCACUUGGUAAUUGAACGUAAUAUCUGAUUGUCCUGCUAUAAAUGAUGCCAUGUGACUCCUGAGAUACUGCUUUAUAAACUAUUUGUCACCACCAGUGUUCUAACCACAGUGUUUAAGUGGAAGUUGUGUCUGAAGGCUUGAUUAGAUUCAAGUUAAAGGACUACAAAGCAGAGAACAAAUUAAGUGACACGAGGAAGCACCUGUAUACCUAUGAGGACACAACUGGACACACUGAGAAUGAGGGACUUCCAUAGACUUUUGAUCUGAUCUCUUAAAGUCAAUGGCAAGGAAAAAAGGAGGAGUUGCUAGAUUAAGAGACUAAGCUCAGUGCAGGAUCUUUGACUGGAUUUUGGUUAAAAACUUAAAAAAAAAAUCAAACCACUUUGAACCAAUGGCGAACACUUGAAUAUGGCAGGAAAAUGAUGUCAAACUCAGGAGAACUUACUGAUGAAGCAUUUAAUGACAAGACUACUGAGAGGUGUGGUCAGGGCUAAAGGAAUCAACAAAGGAUGUUGAGGUACCCAGCAUUAAUAGGAAGGCCAUUGCCAGCCACUCUUAGACCCAAAUGAGCAGGUGUGGAGGCAGUUCUAAGAGCUCAGUCACAGCUAGAGCUGUGUCAGGGGGUGCUGCUUCACAGGAGAUACAGUGGUAGAUGCAGACAAAGCCAAACCAGCAACCCUGCAGCAGGGAGAAGAGAAAAAGCAUCCCAGCCUAUCUCCACACCCUUAUCUCCUACUGGUGCUUCUGUUGGCCUCUGGUGCCUGUGGGCACCUCCCAUUGGCUGAACCCAUUUGGGAGCCUGGCUAUGGCAGUCUGUACAAGUCAGCCUCUUGGGGCUCAGAGCAUAGAAGGCAGCUAAUGCAUCUGUGAGGGAGCAGCAAGUGGUAAUAAAGCACAGAUGCAUAGUGGAUUAGAGAAUUCUUGCUAAUUAUUAGAUGAUAGUGGUGUUGUGGUUAUAUAGAUGGCCUUUGUUUUAUUUUUUAAAGUUUUUUUGGGGGGGAAAUGCAUGUUGAAGUAUUAAGGGAUGAAAUGUCUCGAUGAUUCAUUUAUUCUGAAGUGAUUCAACAAGACAGAUAAAUAGAAUAGAUACUUGAACAAAUAUGGAAAUGAGUUUACAGGAUUUUCUUAUUUCUACCAGCUUUGUGAACUCAGGCUCCAAGUACGUUAUGCCUGAAGAAACAGUCCUUUCUCUCGCUUCCAAACCCAGUAUCUGGCACAUGGUAGAUGCGAAAAAUUGAUUUCUGACCCAUACACUUCUUUCUCAGUGAUUAUCACAUGUCUUGACUACCCUAUUAUACAAUUCUGUUAUGAAUAAAUAUAUCAGAUUGUUUUAUCUUGUCUCUCCUGUAAGUCAAGUUCCCUGAUAGCUACAGUUUUGCUUUAUUCAUCCCUGAUCACCUACUGUAUGCCUUACGGUCUCCUCUAAAAUAUAUACAUAUAAUCUUUUUUAGGGCUGCACCCAUGGCAUACGCAGGUUUCCAGGCUAGGGGUCCAUUCGGACCUGUAGCUACUGGCCUACACCACAGCCACAGCAACACAGGAUCCAAAUCACAUCUUUGACCUCCACCACAGCUCAGGGCAAUGCCAGAUCCUUAACCCACUGAGUGAGGCCAGGAACCGAACCCACAUCCUCAUGGAUACUAGUCAGGUUCGUUAACUACUGAGCCACGAUGGGAACUCCUAAAGUAUAUGUUUUAGUUCUAUCACUCCGAAGAAAUGCUCUAAGAGGUGAGAAGAUUGAGAAAGUAGGAAAAGUCAGAACAGAAGUUAUAUCAGGUGGUAGAGUCUUUCUAUGGACUGAAUGUAUGUUUUUCCCUUCCCCACAAAUUCGCACACUGAAGCUCUAACCCCCAGUGUGAUGGCAUUUGGAGGUGGGACCUUUGGAUGUGCUGGAUCAUGAGGCAGAGCCCUCAAGAUGGAAUCAGUUGCAAGAAGGCAACCAUAUGCGAGCCAGCAAGAGGACUCUCACCAGACACAUAAUCUGCCAGCAUCUUGAUCGUGGAUCCCCCAGCCUCCAGAACAGUGAGAAAUACAUGACUGUUGUCUGAGCCACCUAGUGUAUGGUAUUUUGUUAUAGCAGCCUGAAAUGAUUAAGACAUGCCUAAUUAACCAUCAAAAUGACCUUCAUAUAUGAUCAAUUAAUCUACAACAAAGGAGACAAGAAUAUACAAUGGAGAAAAGACAAUCCCUUCAAUAAGUGGUGCUGGAAAAACUGGACAGCUACAUGUAAAAGAAUGAAAUUAGGAAAUUAUCUCAUACCAUACACAAAAAAUAAACUCAAAAUGGAUUAAAGACCUAAAUGUAAGACUGGAUACUAUAAAACUCCUAGAGGAAAACAUAAGCAGAAUAUUCUUUGACAUAAAUCACAGAAAUAUUUUUUGGAUCCAUCUCCUAAAGGAAAGGGAAUAAAAGCAAAAAUAAAUAAAUGGGAACUAAUUAAAGUUAAAAGCUUUUGCACAGAAAAGGAAACCAUCAACAAAAUGAAUAGAUAACCUAUUGACUGGAAGAAAAUAUUUGCAAAUGAUAUGAUCAAUAAGGGAUUAAUAUCAAACAUAUAUAAAUAGCUUAUAUAAGUCAACACCAAAAAACUCAAACAACCUGAUUUAAAAAAUGGACAGUUCCCUUCGUGGCUCAGCGGUUAAUGAACUGACUAGGAUCCAUGAGGAUGUGGGUUUGAUCCUUGGCCUCACUCAGUGGGUUAAGAUCCGGUGGGGGACGGGGGGAAUGGACAGAAUACCUGAAAAAAAACAUUUUUCCUAAGAGGAAAUGCAGGUGGCCAACAGGCACAUGAAAAAUUGCUCAACAUUGAUAAUCAUCAGGGAAAUGCAAAUCAAAACCACACUGAGAUACCACUCCUAGCAUGGCUAUUAUAAAAAAGAACACAAAUAACAAUUGUUUUUGAGGAUGUGGAGGAAAUGUAACCCUUGUACACUGUUGGUAGGAAUGUAAAUUGAUGCAGCCACUGUGGAAAACAGUAUUGAGGUUCCUCAAGAAACUAAAAAUUGAACUAGCAAUAUGACCCGGUAAUUCCACUCCUGGGUAUAUAUCCAGAAAGUCACACAAAAAACUAAGUCAAAAUUAUACAUGCACCCCAAUGUUUGUAGCAGCAUUAUUUACAAGUGCCAAGAUGUGGAAGCAAACUAGGUGUCCAUCUAUGGAUGAAUGGAUAAAGAAGAUGUGAUACACACACACACACACACACACACACACACACACACACACACACACAGGAAUACUACUCUGUAAAAAAGAAUGAAAUUUUGCUGUUUGCAGCAAUAUGGAUGGACUUGGAGGGUAUUAUGCUAAGUGAAAUAAGUCAGAGAGAGAAAGACAAAUACUGUAGAAUAGCACUUAUAUAUGAAAUCUAAAAAAAUAAAAAUACAACAAACUAGUGACUAUAACAAAAAAGAGGAAGGGAUUUCUCAUUGUGGUUCAGUGGGUUAUGAACCUGACUAGUACCCAUGGGGAUGCACAUUCCAUUCCUGGUCUUGCUCAGUGGGUUAGGAAUCCGGUGCUGCUGUGAGCUGUGGUGUAGGUUGCAGAUGCGGCUCUGAUCCUGCAUUGCUGUGGCUGUGGUGUAGGCCA